rnacentral:rRNA from 1 species
AUGGCUACCGUGCUCUCCUUCAGCUUCAACUUCUCCAGCUCCGGCGACCUCUGUGAAACGGAGCUCAGGUGCGAACGCGACGCGCGCAUGGGCUCCGACGCUAUUGAGCUAACAAAGAACGAGCUCAAAGCCAACUUCUUCAGCGUCGGCCGAGCGUCAUAUGCUCGGCUGGUGCCGCUCUGCAACAACGCCACCGGCAAGGUGGCCAGCUUUUCCUCCAACUUCACGCUCCCUCCCAACAGCGUCGGGGAGAACCUCGCUCUCUUCAACGACAGCAACCGCUUCAACGCCGCCGGAGAUGACCGCAUCGUCACGGUGGAGUUCGACGCCUACCCCAACUCCUGGGACCACAACGACAACCACUUGAACCACAUCGGCAUAGACGUGAACAACAUCAACUCCAGCGCCUACACAAACGUGACGAAGCGCUUGGUCUCUAACGACGCGGUCAUGACUGCCGAGAUCAACUACGACAACCACACAGGUGUCCUGAUCGCCCGUCUUCGCAUCAACGACGACGAGCCGGACAUGGUGAACACGUCGGUGGACAUGAAGGCGGAUUUGCCUCAUGGAGUUGCAAUCGGCUUCGCCGCAUCAACUGGCCUCUGCAGCGAGCUGCAUCAGGCUGAGUUCGAGAGAGGGAUAGGCCCUAGACGGUACCGCUACCGUGAGCUCGCGGCUGCGACCAAGGACUUCGCGGAGGAGGGGAAGCUCGGGCGAGGUGGCUUUGGCAACGGGAGGAAAGAGUUUGAAUCCGAGGUGAAAAUCAUAAGCCGGCUGAGGCACCGGUCCGGUAGCCGCAAAGGUCUCCUGCUCGUCUACGAGCUUGUGCUGGAAGGCAGCCUUGACCGACACAUAUACAACACUGAUCGUCUACUCACUUGGUCAGAGAGAUACAGAAUUAUCCUUGGCUUGGGAUCUGCACUACACUAUCUCCACACAGAGUGGGAUCAGUGGUACAUAGACCCGGAGUUCGUCCGCACACGCAGGCCGACCGCCGAAUCCGAUGUCUACAGCUUUGGCAUCGUUGUGUUGGAGGUAGUGUCCGGCCAGCGGCCGGACACGGAGAUGGAGAUGGAGCAACCAACAACAGCUGACAAAGUAGACAGGGCGCUACCGCUGCUCAAGUGGAUCUGGAACCUGUACGAGAAGAGCGCCAUUGUUGAAGCGGUGGAUGAAAGGAUAAAGAGAGACAAGCAGCUCGACGAUUGCAAGUGGCAGCUACACCGCGCGCUGGUCGUCGGGCUCUGGUGCACACACCCGAGCCCGUGCGUGCGGCCGUCCGUUGUGCAGCUCAUGAACUUCUUGCAAUCCGAAGACCUCACGCUGCCGAUCCUGUCAAGGCCGGGGCCCGACUUUUCUCCUGGAUCACAUGCCUACAACGCGUCGUCGUCGGUCAAUGUCUGCAGUGAUGACGUGUCUUGGGCCACCACUGGCAGAUGA